GAGAUUUGAAGGGAGCUGUCCUUAGUACGAGAGGACCGGGAUGGACGUACCUCUGGUGCACCAGUUGUCCUGCCAAGGGCAUAGCUGGGUAGCUAUGUACGGACGAGAUAAACGCUGAAAGCAUCUAAGCGUGAAACUCUCCCUAAGAUGAGAUCUCUCAUCCUUUAUGGAGUAAGGGCCCAGAAAGACGAUCUGGUUGAUAGGCCGGAGGUGGAGGUGCAGUAAUGUAUGGAGCUGACCGGUACUAAUAGCCCGAGGGCUUGACCUA
rnacentral:rRNA from 1 species